rnacentral:tRNA from 2 species
GUCCCAUUAGCUCAAAUGGUAGAGCGCCCUGUUCAUGAAAGUAUAAAAAAUUUGUACUUUGAUGAGCAGGGAAGGAUUGCGGUUCGAAUCCGUAAUGGGACU